UCUUUGCCACAGCUGCCCAGUAUCCAUGAUGUGGAUCAUGGCUCAUGACCCAGUUCUCUAUGGAUAAACAUCAGGGUCGUUCCCGGUCUGUGGCCAUCGCCAACACUGCCGUGACUAGUCUAGAAUGGGUGCCAUUUCAUGCAUUUGCAAUUCCCAGAAGUACACUGGUUAGUCAGCAGGUGAGUGCAUUGGUGAGAGGAUGUGACUGCAGUCUCAGGAAAUAUGGAAACCUUCUUCCCUUUCUAGCUGCAGCACCCCCAGUCUGGACAGCAUAUGGAAAGCACUGAGGGGAAGCCCCACUAAGCACAGAACCCUGCUGGCCACCCAAGACCUCAAUACAGAUGGACAACAUGAAGCCCCUGGCUUAGGGGAAAACAGAGAGACUGAGAAACACACAGAGAGAGUUGGGGCAGGGAUGGAGAGAGAGAGAAAAUGAUAAAGACCCAGAGAGAGACAGAGUCAGAGAAAUACAGGGGUGGAG
rnacentral:lncRNA from 1 species